rnacentral:lncRNA from 1 species
AAAUACCAAACUUCAUUCACUUCCAUCUACGUUCGCUCAACACUCUUUUCUCAACCUUUCUCUACUCUUGUUUCUUGCAACAACGCAACCAUGCCUUUUCUUGAAGCCUUGUCCACUAUUGGAGAAGUUUUUGUCUCCAAGCUCAUUGACUUUUUCCUUGACAAGCUGGCCUCAUCCGACCUCCUGGAAUUCGCUACUGAAAAACAGGUUCGUGAGGAGAUCCAGAUGUUGGAGAAUGAACUGAAGCAGAUCCGUAGGGUGCUUGAUGAUGCUGAAGAGAGACAGCUGAAAGAGCAGCAGGUGAAAGACUGGUUGAUCGACCUCCAAAACUUGGCAUUCGAUUUGGAGGAUGUUUUGGACGAGUUUGCAACCGAAAUUGGCAGGCGCAAUCUGAUGAUGGAACGUCGAGGCAGCUCAAGUAAGAGAUCCAGAUUCAGUAUUCCUAAUCCAUUCAAUGAUGUUCUGUUUAACAGAGAUAUAAUGUCCAAGAUACGAGAUCUUACUUCCAAACUGAAAGAUUUGGAACCUCAGAGAAACAAGUUAGAGUUAAGAAUGACUGAUUGCGAAAGACCCACAAGACUAGAACAAAGACUGCAGCCUACUUCUUUGGAGAUUGAAAAUCAUGUGUAUGGCAGAGACAAAGACAAACAGACAAUUCUUGAUUUGAUCUUGAAGAGUGAUGACGAAAGAAAUUUUGUAAUUCCCAUCCUUGGGAUGGGUGGGAUUGGUAAGACAACCCUCGCCCAGCUUGUUUACAACGAUGCUUCCAUUCAACAUCAUUUUCACCUCAAAGCAUGGGCUUGUGUUUCUGAUUAUUUUGAUGUUUUGAGAAUAACGAAAGAAAUCCUGCAAUCAAUCACUGCCGUGUCAUGCAAUGAUAAUGAUCUGAAUAUAGUUCAAGAAAAGUUACAGAAGGAGUUGUCUGGGAAAAAAUUCUUAAUUGUUUUAGAUGAUGUCUGGAAUGAGAAUUAUCAUGAGUGGACAAUCUUACAAUCUCCUUUCAAAACGAGGACUCAAGGAAGCAAAAUUAUUGUGACAACAAGAAACCACGGUGUUUCAUCAACAAUGGGUGCCUAGCAUGCUCAUUCUUUAGAGCUUUUGUCAGAUGAUGAUUGUUUGUCUGUAUUUGCUCAACAUGCAUUGGGAGCAAGGGACUUCGAAGGACAUCCAAGCCUAAAGGAAGUUGCUGAGAAGAUAGUGAGAAAAUGCAACGGUUUGCCUUUAGCUGCUAAAACCCUCGGUGGCUUAUUGCGCACUAAUGUAGACCUUAAUGCUUGGGAAGAAAUUUUAGAGAGCGAGAUAUGGAAGCUAUCUAAAGAUCAGUCAAGUAUAAUCCCAGCUCUACAGGUAAGCUACCAUCAUCUUCCUCUACAUUUGAAGCGCUGCUUUAUGUAUUGUGCCAUUAUUCCUAAGGACUAUGCGUUUGAGAAGGAAGAAAUAAUCAUAUUAUGGAGGGCACAAGGGUUUCUACAAGAAGUACGAGAUAAACAGUGCAUCCAUGAUUUGGGUCUCAAGUAUUUCAAAGACCUAGUGUCAAGAUCCCUUUUACAAGUGUCCAUUAACAAUAAUUCUCGAUUUGUUAUGCAUGAUCUCAUUAAUGAUUUGGCUCAAUCAGUUGCCGGAGAAGUAUGCUUUAAAAUGGAAGGUAGUCAACAAAUUUCGAAGCAUGCUCGCCAUUUAUCUUACAUUGCUGAGAGGUUUGACGGCAUCAAAAAAUUUGAAAGCAUUUAUGAAGCGCAACAUUUACGAACCUUUCUUCCAUUGGGGUUGUCUUCGGUCGAAAACUUUCUAACCAUUCAAGUCCUAACGAAUUUGUUGCCAAACUUGCGAUGCUUAAGGGCACUUUCCUUGGAAGGGUAUCAAGUCACCAUGUUGCCAGAUUUUGUGGGAGAUUUGAAACUUUUACGGUACCUAAACUUUUCUAAGAAUAGAGUUAUUAAAUGCUUGCCGGAAUCAGUUAGUACCCUUUACAAUUUAGAAACCUUUUUAUUAAAGGGGUGUUGGAACCUUAAGAAGUUACCGUCAGAGAUGGAAAAGUUGGUCAACCUAUGCUAUCUUGAUAUCACUGGUGCAUAUAAAUUAGAAAGCAUGGCAAGCAAUUUUAGCAUGCUAACUAAUCUUCAAAAACUUUCCAUUUUUAUUUUGGGUAAAGAGAAGGGACAUAAAAUAAGGGAGCUAAUGAAUUUGUCAAAUCUCAGGGGUGAACUUUGUAUUUCAGGAUUACAGAAUAUAGCUGAGCCUGGAGAUGCACAGAUGGCUAGAUUAUCUAAUAAGUCGAGAAUUGGGAAUUUAAAAUUGCAGUGGAUCGAAGACUUUGAGAAUAGAAGAGAAGAAGUCGAGAAAAAGGUGUUGGAUGGACUUCAACCUUCUAAGAAGCUCAUGGAGCUCAGCAUUAAGUUCUAUUGUGGUGAAAUGUUGGCAAAUUGGGUGGGAGAUUCAUCCUUCAAUUGUUUACAAUCUUUAUGCCUUAAUGAUUGUAUAAAUUUAUUGUCAUUGCCAUCGAUUGGGAAAUUGCCAUUGUUGAAAAAGGUACGUAUUAAAGGAUUGCGCAGUGUAAGGACUGUAGGAGUUGAGUUCUUUGGAGAGAACACGACCAACACAUUUUCUUCAUUGGAGAUUUUAGAGUUUAAGGAUAUGCUUAAUUGGGAGAAGUGGAACUUGUGUGAAGUUGAUGAGGAAGCUAGGAAAUUCCCUAAACUUUCUGAACUCCUUAUUGAAAAUUGUCCCUUAUUGUUAGGGAGUAUUCCGGAAUACCUUCCUUCUUUGAAGAAACUUGCAAUUCUUUGGUGCGGGAAGUUGAUAAUUUCUGUUCAAAACUUUCCAUUGCUUUCAGAAUUAGAUAUUUGGGGUUGCCACUGGAUAAUUUAUAAAGGUUUUGUAGAUAAUAGCUCUAUAAAAAGAAUCUCGUUUGAAGGGAUUUCCAAGUUUAGUUGUGCAGCAGAAUGCUUGAGGUUAAGAUCAAUAAAAGUGGAAUCGUUUGAGAUUGGUGAUUGUGAGGAGUUGGGGCCUUCUCGAGAUAACAAUUGGGGAUUGCUAACUCAGUCCAUGUCCCUCAAAUAUUUAGAAAUUGCAAGAUGUCCGCAAAUUGUAUCCAUAGGAACAGAAGAGGAAAGAGAAGAAUUGAUGCAAUUGAAGAUUCCUUCUAGCAUUGUAAGAAUGACAAUAAGGAAUUGUGAAAGGCUAGAAAAACUAUCGACAACCUUGUACACCCUCACAUUACUUAUGGAAUUAGAGCUUGGCGGUUGCCCAAAAUUGAUUUCUCUUGCAAGGAGCAAUUUGCCUUCAAAUCUGAAAGAGCUAAGGAUUUUUUAUUGUAAAAAUUUGCAAUGUUUAUUGUUGGAUGAAGGAGAGGAUGUUGACUCCAACAAUGCAUGUGUUCUUCAGCAGUUGGAUAUUGUCGGUUGCGAAUCUCUAAAGAGAAUAAAUAGAAGUGAGUUGCCCUCCACACUGAAAACACUUCAAAUAAAAUAUUGUCCAAAGCUAGAGUCCAUAUCCCAAGAAAUUCAAGAUAACUCUUCUCUUGAAUCUAUUCUUAUCUUUAAUUGUGAUAUGCUUAAGGGUUUACCUCAAGGAUUGAACAACCUCAAGCAUUGCAAGAGCAUAAGGAUAAGAAAUUGUUCAACUUUGAUUUCCGUAGCAGAGAGUGGUUUGCCCACCACAAACCUUGAAGUGCUCUACCUCCACUGUUGUGUACUUCUCCAAGGUUUGCCUGGGAAUAUGCACAGUCUCAACGCUCUAAAAGAAUUAGAAAUAUGGAAUUUUCCAAAUGGGACAUCCAUUCUGGAAGAGGGGAUUCCUACCAAUCUCACAUCGCUUAGAAUUAGUGGACCCAAUAUCUGGAAGGCAAUACUUGAGAGGCAUUUGCAUACACUCACUUGUCUUAAAUCUCUCGACAUAUCAGAAGGGUGUCCAGAUGCAGUGUCAUUUCCUCAAGAUGAGAUAGGAGUCACACUGCCCUCCUCUCUCACCUAUCUCCGCAUCUCGGAUUUCCCAAAACUGGAGAGCCUAUCCUCCAAUGGCUUUCGCAACCUCACUUCUCUCCAGCGCUUGACUAUCGAAAAUUGCCCAAACCUCAAGACUCUUCCGGAAAACAACAUGCUUUCUUCGCUUUUGAAGCUAAAUAUCGUGGGGUGUCCAAUGAUGGAAGAAAGGUGCAAAAGGGAUAAAGGACCUGAUUGGUCCAAAAUUAGCCACAUACCUUAUGUUGCUAUUGGGGGAUUAAUAGUCUGUUGAUGGUUCAGACACAAGUUCCGGAAAACAACAUGCUUUCUUCGCUUUUGAAGCUAAAUAUCGUGGGGUGUCCAAUGAUGGAAGAAAGGUGCAAAAGGGAUAAAGGACCUGAUUGGUCCAAAAUUAGCCACAUACCUUAUGUUGCUAUUGGGGGAUUAAUAGUAUGUUGAUGGUUCAGACACAAGUUCUUUGGAGACACAAUAAUUGAUGAAUCAAAUAGGCAGGUAUGUCAAUUUGGGAUCAUUAUAUCCCAUACAAAUUUUAUUUUAUUUAUGAUCUUUUUUACAAUUAUUGUCCUAUUCUAUAACUAGAAAAACAAAAUAUAUGGUCCCUUGGCUGGGUCAGGAAUAUUAUUAUUUUAAAAUACGAGUUAUUUUAAUAUUCACUGAAAAAUAGAAUAAUUAAUUUUUGUUUUACCCUAUCAUUUAUUAUUCAUUCCAAUGUUCUAACCAUUAAUUCCUGCUAUUGGAAAUACCGGCAUAUUGAAUCUAUGUAUGGAUUUUGCUUUUCUCUGGCCUGUUAAUUAAAGGACUAAAAAUUUUAUGAAUGGAAGUGAGAAUCAAUAUUAUUGAUGUUAUUGUCCAGCUGGCAAUGCCUUGCUGCUGUUUAUAUGUUUUAGUUGGCACCGAUGAAGGAAUUGCAUUGCUCCUCUGAUACUGACCUACGCAUGAAUAUCCUAAUAUAUUGCUAUUUGGACAUGUCAAAGUUGAGAGAUUAUGACGCAACUUUUUUAGCACGCCUUCAUAUAUUUUGUUCUUGCAGUUGUUCCUCUGUCAAAUGUGACAAAACAUCCUUUCCAACCAAAUGAUGCAAAACUGAUGAAGAACAAAAGAUCAUUGAUGUUAGUUGAGCAGGAAUUUGGCCGACAAUCAUAGGAUGUCACAGGUUUAUGAUAAUUGGAAAUACUCCUGAAUUUAUUUGUUUUUAAGAGGAAAUUGACUGAAAUCCAAUGAAGAGGAUAUCUGAGGUAUCUGAAAUUAUUUGAAAUUAUUUGCAUGUUCAAAUAUAUAUAUCACUUUAAUUGAUAGGUGUUUGACAACUUUCUUGGGUUUCACAUCAUUUGAUUAGUUAUUAUCAAUUAAUGAAAGCCCGUUGACCAAAACAUGCAGAACUCCUUGGGGAAAUGCAGACCUUUUCUCAAGCGAAAGAGUUGAGCUGAUUCGACUCCUAAUUACAUAGGCUUUUGCUUGGAUGAGCUUUACAUGGGUACCUUUCUAUUGUACCAAAAACUUUGGUCUUUCACACCAUGCCUCUGAUGCUAUAUAGCUAUUUGCACUUUGAAUCUUUGUUUGCAGACACUUAUGACGGUGACUACAAGGCUCGUGUAUGUUAGUUUUGCACGAUCGGAUUAGUUACCAAUAGCUGUAGCUUGUGGAUCUUCGGCUUCAAAGUCUGUCUCUAUUGUUGGAAUUUCUCCAGCUUUCUCUAUUAUGUUUAGGAAUAAUCACUUCUCGAUGAUAGUUAAGCUAGAGUUAUGUAUUUAUUGUGAUCAUGUAGCCACAAUUUUAUAUUAUAAUGAAGUUUUUCAGUGGACUCUCGAGUCCCGUAAUUUUUACCCUUUGAUUUAAAGGGAUUUUCCACG